CCUACGGGAGGCAGCAGUGGGGGACAUUGCACAAUGGGGGAAACCCUGAUGCAGCGACGCCGCGUGGGUGAAGAAGCGCCUCGGCGCGUAAAGCCCUGUCAGCAGGGAAGUAAAUGACGGUACCUGAAGAAGAAGCCCCGGCUAACUACGUGCCAGCAGCCGCGGUAAUACGUAGGGGGCAAGCGUUAUCCGGAUUUACUGGGUGUAAAGGGGGCGCAGACGGCGAUGCAAGCCAGGCGUGAAAGCCCGGGGCCCAACCCCGGGACUGCUCUUGGAACUGCGUGGCUAGAGUGCAGGAGGGGCAGGCGGAAUUCCUGGUGUAGCGGUGAAAUGCGUAGAUAUCAGGAGGAACACCGGUGGCGAAGGCGGCCUGCUGGACUGCAACUGACGUUGAGGCCCGAAAGCGUGGGGAGCAAACAGGAUUAGAUACCCCUGUAGUC
rnacentral:rRNA from 1 species